CGCCUCUGGAGCAUGUGAUAUGCCAGCUCAAUUAAUGAGCUCAGAUCUAACGCUCCUUGUUUUUUUGCAUUUUCUAUUUUUUGAUUUAAUUUCUUUUAUUUCCAUUUAUUUCAAAAAUUCAUAACUCUUUCAUUUUAAUUCCAAAAAUUAUGGGACCAAUUGCAUUAGUCUCCAAAUAAGUUCUAGUUUCUAUUUCUGAUUUUU
rnacentral:lncRNA from 1 species